UGAGGGACUGAUGGGAAGGCAUGAUUAUAUUUUGCAAACUGAGAAAGACAAAAUUUGGGAGGGACUAGGGCAAAAUAAUAUGGUUUGGAUCUAUGUCCCCAACCAAAUCUCAUGUCAAAUUGUAAUACCCAGUGUUGGAGGUGGGGCCUGAUGGGAGGUUAUUGGAUUGUGGAGUGGUUUCUUUUUAAUGGUUUAAUACCAUUUCCUUGGUGCUAUUCUUAUGAUAGUGAGUGAGUGAGUUAUUAUGAAAUCUGGUUGUUAAAAGGGUGUAGCACCUCCUCACCUCUCACUUUUCUUCCUGCUCCCCGCUAUAUGAAGCACCGGCUCCCUCUUCAUUUUCCCACCAUGGUUAUACAUUUCAUGAGGCCUCCCCACAUGCCCAGCAGAUGCAACAUUCUUUCUGUACAGCAUGCAGAACUGUGAGUCAGUUGAAACUCUUUUCUUUAUAAAUUACCCAAUCUCGGGUAUUUCUUUAUAGCAAUGCAAUAAUGGACUAAUACACACCUAAUAAUAUUAUUUCCUUGAAUCACGCAAUCAAUUAACAAAAUCCUCUGUGUGAAAUGGCUGGCUUCCUUUUAUUGGUGGUUAACUGCUAAUUAAACAAUAUUUUUGGCAUUUCAAUUUUGUUGUUAUUAUUGUUCAAAGCUUGUACAAAGCCUCCAUCAAGUAGUCCAAUUCUCCAGCUUCUGUCACUCCUGGACAACAUUUGUAUUUAAAAAUACCUUUCAGCCAGGUGACACACACCUGUUGUCCCAGCUACUCAGGAUGCUGAGGCGGGAGGAACACUUGAGCCCAGGAGUUCUGGGUUGUAUGCACUAUGCUGAUGAAGUGUCUGCACUAAGUUUGGCAUCAAUAUGUUAGCUUCCAGGGAGCAGAAGACCACCAGGUUGCCUAAGGAGUGGUCAACUCAAAAAUUGAGCAGAAUAAAACUCCUCUGCUUAUCAGUAGUGGGAUGACCCCUUUGAAUAGUCACUGCACUACAACCUGGGCAACAUAGUGAGACCCUAUUUCUUAACAAAAAAAAAGAAAGAACUACCUUCCAUAUUUCUGCAAGUAUGUGAGUUAUCUUUGAUGUAGUGUUACCUUUUCUCAGUGAAUGAAGUGUAAUAACCUCUUGUUCAUUUUGUUUACAAAAAUAAAUAAAUAAAUAAAAGCAGGGACAUUCUAAGUGGAAUCAAGUUCCAAGUAAUACAGACUUAAUACUAUUUAUAGAAUAAUUCAAUUUUAUGAUAUAUUUCAUGUGUUGCUAUCCUCAGUUAUAUUUACUCAUGUAUAGUUACAUUUGUCAAUGUCCUAGCUAUAAUCACCUAUUUUUAGAUUUUAAUAAAUGUAAUUAAAUUAAUAGCAUUUCUAUUUUUAUAACAAGUUCUAAAAUUAAGCCACAGUAGAAAAUUCAUGAUAAGAUUAAGUUUGAUUUUUAUUUCACUUUUAUAUGUAUGAAUCUUAAGAAUUUGGUAUUUCCUAUCUAAUAUUUGUCUUUCUGUUCUUGGAAACUAAUUUCAAAUUAUUUACAAGUUUCAGAAGUAUGCAGCCAGUGAAGAAUCCAAUAUCAUUUUGUUCAAUAUACCUAUAAUUUGAACUUAAAUAAGUAUACUUCCACAAAUGUCACUGAAGCAAGUAUUUCAAGUAUUUAUUUCCAGGUAUAAUUUCAAUUAUGGGGUAUUCAGAUAUCUUGUUAUAUCAACAACUAAACAUAAUAUAUUAAAUUAUUUGAGAUAUAGAAAGUAUAUCUUGAAAACAGUGCAGUUGUAAAUCUUUAAGGUAGGAAAGCAGCUCAGCAAAUGUUUUCCUCCACUGUCCAUGAGGCAAAUGUCUAAUGACUGUACACACACACUCACACUCACACACAUACAUACACAUUCUGUCUCAAAUAUAGAUAUAUAUUCACACUCUGAUUCAAUGAAUUCAACCUCAUGACUAAGGAUUUGAAUAGUGUUUUUUAACCUUCAUCCUUU
rnacentral:lncRNA from 1 species